CUCCUUCCGCAGUCCCGCACCCUCUCCCUCCCCGCCCCGAAUCCCACCCCAUGCCUGCCAUCUCCGCCGCCUCACCACCCCAUCUUCCCCCUUCCCCCCAGUCCAAAUGCCGCCUCGCCGAGUCCGAGACAGCCCCUGCGGCCCUGCUCGCCCACCGCUUGCCUACGACGACGGCGAUGCGCAACUCCAUGGUCCGCGCCUCCACGCUCCAGUCGAGGGGCUGCCAAGGCACCGAGAGCCCGCUUCCCAUUGAUCUACUCGUCGCCCGACCUGGCCGUAUCCAUUUUCCAUUCGUCCAAUAGAUUUUCCGUCCGUACCUAAGGAUGCCUUCCGCGGGAGGGUGGCCAAGCUCUGCGAUGCCGGCCUUGGAUGCUGGCUUGCACCUGCAUUUGAGGAUGGAGCCAAGGUACUCAAGUGGCUCACCAUGCAGGGGAAUCUUGCCAUGAUGACCAAGGUCAGGUCAGGGGUGAUGUGGGCACGUUUGCUACACUUCGUUUUACGGGUAGGUAAAAUUACUGAUGCUUCUUUUUACUAAAGUUACUAAUCCAUCUUGGUGCUGAAGUUUACUGAUGAGUGCUGUUGAAAUCAUUGGUUGUGCAUAUGAUGGAAAAUAGAUAAUCUGCAAUACAGAUGCAGAUAAGCUUUUAGCAGUUACACAUUGCUCAUUUCUCUGCCUACUCUAAUAUACAAUUGUUACCACAGGUGAUUUGAGAUGGACUGGACUCCUCAUAUGAUGAUGAAUUUUGAUCCAGCUUAAUUCAUUUUAAUUGACUCCUCAUCAUUUUAUGAGCAGGAAGUUUAUCAAGUUACCUAUAUCCAGAGUUCACAUUUUCUUAACAAUAUUGCCUCCAUGCGUGCACAAUAAAAUGAAAACAGUUAGUGUGUACUCAUUUCGUGAGAUUAGCUCUGUCAUCAUUUUGGCAUUUUUGAGGAUUGAAUUUGCCUUCUUUCCCUUGUCUUUCUUUUGUGCAGAAUUUGGAAUAAUGGAGAAGAAGAAAUAAGUUACCACGAGGAUGACAGAUUUCUGCAACCACUGAGCCCACGAGAAUGAUUUAGUUUUGGUGCUAAGUAAGGUAUAUUGGGGCGGAAUUUUUUCUUAGGUGGAUGAGGAGAUGAAGGUCAGGCAGAUGAGGAAGGAGCACGUGCCAAGAGCACAUCUUAUGCUAGAUUGUGCGUAAAAGGUCGCAGGUAUGGAGUCCUCUUGUCUCCUCUUUUAAUCUGAUUUGUUUUGCAUGAUCAGUUAUAUAACAGUUAUAGCUACCUAUUAUGAACAUAUACCAUAUUACUAUGAUCAAUUCGAGACAUGCAGCUGUUAUUUUGAAAAUCCAAAUUAUUUUAGCUGAAAAAUCUGCUUUGAAGUGCAGAGCCAAUGAAGCCUUUGACAAUUCCUAGGGAGCCAAGACUCACCCUGGGAGCCGGGCAUGGAUAUAUCAGUUCAGAUUUAAUUACUUUUAUUUGCCAUAUUGAUAAACUACAACUCUAGAUGGAUGAUUACUAAAGCCAGGGAAAUAACAUGAUACAAAUUUAACUUAUGUAUUCGUUUCACAUGUAAAGCUAUCCAAAGAAGUUAUGCAGUAUGGAUCAGCCGCGUGCAAGUAAAGAGGAGUCCAUAACAUUUGGUACUCAUAAUUUGACUAAGCCUGACUAUUUAUGUUUUAUUUUCUGUUUACUUCUGCAGCAAAUAGCCACAUCACAUCUGAAUAUUAUGGACAUCGUAAUGUGUAAAAGAAGAGUUUUCAGCUUGACUACUGGAAAGAAGCUUCUUCCUGUGUCACUUUUGUACAAAAUGCAAAUAUGGGAUUUGCUAAAACAUACUUGAAAGGGGUAUUGGUGGCUGUUAUAUUGCAGUCGAGAUACAGGUGAGGCCAAGCUGCACUCUAAUCUAACGCAGACCAAGCUGUACUCUAAUCCAACGCAGACCAAGCUGUACACUUAACAUAGUCGAGGCCAAGGUCUUACAUAUCGUUACCCCUGGUCAUCCCCUCUCAGUGAGUGAUCGAUUGGUGCCAUGAGUAAGAAAUAACCAAGUGAUCUCCCCUAAUCCCCACCCCUCUUUCGAUUUGGUAGAUACUUGAUGCAAAUCUCAUCAUGAGAUUUGUUGGUAGAUAUUAUUUCCAUGUAAUAAUCUUGUCCCUUUUGCUUUUCUUAUUAUUGAUCAGGACAAAGCAUGUGGCUUUCCAUGUGUUUCCUGACAAUGUCUCAUAAAAAAAUGACUUCUCAGUUCUCAUUGUUAUUUCAGAUAGGCCUCACUCAGGAUAUGGUGCUACCAUUAAUGGUCAAGAUAAGAUGGAAAGGAUUGAUUAGGCAGCUUAUAUCUUUCUGGAUAGGGUAUGCGACAAGGCUGGUGAUUGGUGACUCCAUUGUUCUUGCAAUGUUGCUGAUGAGCCAUUUCAACUACAUACAUACUAAGAAAGCAGAGGAAGAUGAUGCGGUCAUUGAGUUUGUUGUCUACGUGAAAUCAUGUGAUGUGGUCAUUAGCAUGUUGUAUAUCCAAAUUGUUGUUUGGAGUAAUCAUCUUUGUCGCAGUCUGAUAAUAUUAUGUAUUUAUCUAUACACGUGCAAUUGCACAUGAAUCUUAAUUCUGUUUCAUUCUUUUCUUGGGACCUAAUGGCAUGCCCAAUGGAAAUUUCA